CCCUUAGAUGUUCUGGGCCGCACACGCGCUACACUGAAGGAGGCAGCGUGUACUCCUGGAUCGAAAGAUUUGGGUAACCCGCGAAUCUCCUUCGUGCUAGGGAUUGAGGUUUGCAAUUAUCCUUCAUGAACGAGGAAUUCCCAGUAGUGCAAGUCAUAAGCUUGCGCUGACUACGUCCCUGCCCUUUGUACACACCGCCCGUCGCUACUACCGAUUGAAUGAUUUAGUGAGGACUUCGGACUGGGACCGAUGCGGCUUUCGGGCUGCGUCGGUAUUCUGGAAAGAUGUCCAAACUGUAUCAUUUAGAGGAAGUAAAAGUCGUAACA
rnacentral:rRNA from 1 species